rnacentral:rRNA from 1 species
AGUUCGGACUGGAGUCUACAACCCGACUCCACGAAGUUGGAUUCGCUAGUAAUCGCGCAUCAGCCAUGGCGCGGUGAAUACGUUCCCGGGCCUUGUACACACCGCCCGUCAAGCCAUGGGAGUCGGGAGUGCCUGAAGUUCGUGACCGUCACAGGAGCGACCUAAGGCAAGACCGAUGACUGGGGCUAAGUCGUAACAAGGUACC